rnacentral:rRNA from 1 species
AGUGAACGCUGGCGGUAGGCCUAACACAUGCAAGUCGAACGGCAGCACAGUAAGAGCUUGCUCUUACGGGUGGCGAGUGGCGGACGGGUGAGGAAUACAUCGGAAUCUACUUUUUCGUGGGGGAUAACGUAGGGAAACUUACGCUAAUACCGCAUACGACCUACGGGUGAAAGCAGGGGAUCUUCGGACCUUGCGCGAUUGAAUGAGCCGAUGUCGGAUUAGCUAGUUGGCGGGGUAAAGGCCCACCAAGGCGACGAUCCGUAGCUGGUCUGAGAGGAUGAUCAGCCACACUGGAACUGAGACACGGUCCAGACUCCUACGGGAGGCAGCAGUGGGGAAUAUUGGACAAUGGGCGCAAGCAUGAUCCAGCCAUACCGCGUGGGUGAAGAAGGACUUCGGGUUGUAAAGCCCUUUUGUUGGGAAAGAAAAGCAGCAGGUUAAUACCCCGCUGUUCUGACGGUACCCAAAGAAUAAGCACCGGCUAACUUCGUG